AUGGGCAUCUUUGACGAGUUCUACAUUGGGUCCAUUGACCUCGGGCGCCUCAACUACGGGACGAUUUCGCUUAUCCCCAAGGUUCCUGGGGCGUCUGACAUCCGUCAGUUUGGCCCGAUCACGGUGAUAAAUGUGAUCUUCCGGAUUCUGGCAAAAGGGUACGCCAAUAGGGUGACCCUGCUCGCGGAUCAGAUUACCCACCCCAACCAAUCUGCCUUCAUCCAAGGCCAAUAUAUUCUGGAUGGGGUGCUAGUCCUUCACGAAGUCCUCCACGAGGUCCACUCCAAACACCUCAAGGCGGUCUUCCUGAAGAUCGAUUUCCACAAGGCCUAUGACACUGUUAGCUGGCCCUUCCUUCGGGAAGUUCUACUUCGGAAAGGCUUCGAUGACCGUUGCAUCACCAGGGUAAUGUAG
rnacentral:rRNA from 1 species